GGAUAACAUACCGAAAGGUAUGCUAAUACGAGAUAAUAUGCUUUUAUCGCAUGGUAGAAGUAUCAAAGCUUUUGCGGUACAGGAUGGACCCGCGUCUGAUUAGCUAGUUGGUAAGGUAACGGCUUACCAAGGCGACGAUCAGUAGCCGACCUGAGAGGGUGAUCGGCCACAUUGGAACUGAGACACGGUCCAAACUCCUACGGGAGGCAGCAGUGGGGAAUAUUGCACAAUGGGCGAAAGCCUGAUGCAGCAACGCCGCGUGAGCGAUGAAGGCCUUCGGGUCGUAAAGCUCUGUCCUCAAGGAAGAUAAUGACGGUACUUGAGGAGGAAGCCCCGGCUAACUACGUGCCAGCAGCCGCGGUAAUACGUAGGGGGCUAGCGUUAUCCGGAAUUACUGGGCGUAAAGGGUGCGUAGGUGGUUUCUUAAGUCAGAGGUGAAAGGCUACGGCUCAACCGUAGUAAGCCUUUGAAACUGGGAAACUUGAGUGCAGGAGAGGAGAGUGGAAUUCCUAGUGUAGCGGUGAAAUGCGUAGAUAUUAGGAGGAACACCAGUUGCGAAGGCGGCUCUCUGGACUGUAACUGACACUGAGGCACGAAAGCGUGGGGAGCAAACAGGAUUAGAUACCCUGGUAGUCCACGCCGUAAACGAUGAGUACUAGCUGUCGGAGGUUACCCCCUUCGGUGGCGCAG
rnacentral:rRNA from 1 species